rfam:Gossypium hirsutum cultivar TM-1 unplaced genomic scaffold scaffold1822.1, whole genome shotgun sequence
GGUUAAAAUUUUCAUCCAUUUCUAAUGAUAAAAACUGGUGUAACUGACUGAAUAAUUAGACAAUUACAUCUGGUGUGCCACUUGUACCUCAUGUCAAGAAUCUGGGAUCAGUUUUUAACCAUCGAAAUGGAUAAAAUUUUUAACA